rnacentral:rRNA from 1 species
AGACGGAGGGGGCUAGCGUUGUUCGGAAUUACUGGGCGUAAAGCGCGCGUAGGCGGUCCGUUUAGUUAGGCGUGAAAGCCCUGGGCUCAACCCGGGAACUGCGUUUAAAACUGGCGGACUAGAGUCCGGGAGAGGGUGGCGGAAUUCCCAGUGUAGAGGUGAAAUUCGUAGAUAUUGGGAAGAACACCAGUGGCGAAGGCGGCCACCUGGCCCGGUACUGACGCUGAGGUGCGAAAGCGUGGGGAGCAAACAGGAUUAGAAACCCGAGUAGUCC